UACGAAGGGGGCUAGCGUUGCUUGGAAUCACUGGGCGUAAAGGGUGCGUAGGCGGGUCUUUAAGUCAGGGGUGAAAUCCUGGAGCUCAACUCCAGAACUGCCUUUGAUACUGAGGAUCUUGAGUUCGGGAGAGGUGAGUGGAACUGCGAGUGUAGAGGUGAAAUUCGUAGAUAUCGGGAGGAACAUCAGUGGCGAAGGCGGCUGCCUGGCCCAAUACUGACACUCAGGUGCGACAGCGUGGGGAGCAAACAGG
rnacentral:rRNA from 1 species